rnacentral:rRNA from 1 species
CCUACGGGCGGCAGCAGUGGGGAAUAUUGGACAAUGGGGGGAACCCUGAUCCAGCGACGCCGCGUGAGGGAAGAAGUAUUUCGGUAUGUAAAGCUCUAUCAGCAGGGAAGAAAGAAAUGACGGUACCUGACUAAGAAGCCCCGGCUAACUACGUGCCAGCAGCCGCGGUAAUACGUAGGGGGCAAGCGUUAUCCGGAUUUACUGGGUGUAAAGGGAGCGUAGACGGCGAUGCAAGUCUGAAGUGAAAGGCGGGGGGCCAACCCCCGGACUGCUUUGGAAACUGUAUGGCUGGAGUGCAGGAGAGGUAAGUGGAAUUCGUAGUGUAGCGGUGAAAUGCGUAGAUAUUAGGAGGAACACCAGUGGCGAAGGCGGCUUACUGGACUGUAACUGACGUUGAGGCUCGAAAGCGUGGGGAGCAAACAGGAUUAGAUACCCCUGUAGUC